CGCCCUCCCCAUUUGAAAAAUUCUUUCUAACAAACCGUCGUUGGCUUCUUUGAUGGAGAGAACGACAGACGAAGAAAGUGUGGAUGUUGGUUGAUCACAAAAUCACUAUUCAAUCGAACGUAUUAUGCUUCAAUCCAUCAACAAGUGUAGAGGCAUUCAUUUUCUUUCAAUCCAACCUAGCCACAAUUGGAUUUUGCAGAUGUGAUCCAGUUUUUAUAGUCCCACUUCUAGUUUAUAUGUAUGCUAAGUCACCACUGUUCAUAUAACCCUUAAAGAUUAUGGUGGCUGGCUUCUUUCAUGGCUUGGAGAUAUUCUUUGUGGUUAUGCUAUCUGAGCAGGCACCUAUCAGUUUUUCAAGCAUCACAUUUUCUAUUUCUCAACUGGCACAUUUGAACCCUUUAGGGCGGACGAAAGAAGAAAAGGGCGACAGAACAGACAAAUCGCAAGCAACAAUAACUGACAUCCCCAAAUCCAGAGUGCAUCCGCUCCAAAUUGUAAGCAACAACCCAAGUUAAUAUAUGUACAGAUUUGAACAAUGCCUAUUACCGUGUGUCAUUUUUACCAUGUGUCACAGAACCAUCCGUUUCAACUAUACCUGGCAAAACUUGUUUACCCCUUUUAAAGUUGUCUAGUUAGGCAUUCGAGCCGAGCUUACUUAAUCUUGUUUACGAGCUUCGCCCGAACCGAAAAAUAAGU